rnacentral:lncRNA from 1 species
AUCACAGUAUUUGGCAUAAUGAAAGAGUUCAAUAACUAUUAGCUAUUAGUUUUACUUAUCACAUUGUACCUAAGAUAAAAUUUCUAUGUAUGUGUAAAUAAUGUAUAAGUCCUCCAUUAAUAUAUAAGAUCUUUAAGAAUAAGAAAAGAUAAUAACUUACCCCUUUUAGUGUCUAAAAUCCUGGAUUUGUGCAUUUUACCUUGAAGAAGCACAAACAGCACUUGUUGAAACACUGGUUGAAUGAAUCUGUUACUAGAGUUUAGACAAAGAAAUAUAGGACAGAACAGCUUUUCACCCUGAUAUGUGCCAAGGCAUUCUGUUGGACUUUAUGUACUUUACCUUAUUCAAUACCCACAACCACUCUGCGAAACAUAUAUUGAUCUUGCUCUAUAAGGAAAUUGAGACUCAAGGAAUUUAAAUAAUAUACCUCAAGUCAACAACUAGAAAGAAUCAAAGCCAGAAUUCCAAGCUAUUGCAUUUCUGACUCCAACUCCUAGGCUCUUGCUCCCUUGCUAUUUUGACACUAAGUAACAUCAUAAUGUCCCCAAGGGGUCUAGUAUGUGGACACCAAAAUCGCUUUUAGCACAGAUUACUAAUACAGUUCUCAGAGAGAUUUCAAACAAUUUAAAAAAGUAAUUUUUUUUUUUUUGAGAUGGAGUCUCACUCUGUUGCCCAGGCUAGAAUGCAGUGGUGCCAUCUUCACUCACUACAAUCUCUUCUCUCCUGCCUUAGCCUCCCUAGUAGCUGGGAUUACAGGUGUCUCCACCCUCUUCAAGUUAUGCCUUUGGAAUGGACCAUAAAACCGCAUUUCAAUUGUAAGUUGGCAUGUAAGUAAAUAAAACUUUUACAAGUAAUAUAAAUGAGUGUGUUGUCAAGAGGAUCCUAGGUAUGUAUAAAUCCUUUAAUUACAAUUUCUAGUGCUAAUGUUUAUCCUUUAAUUAGAGGUGUAUAGUAGGCUUCUUUGUGGGGGCAGAGGAGUAAACUGGAACCAUAUGGAUGCUGCCUCAUUUUCAUCUGAGCCCUUCCAGGGAUUGUAAACCUUAAAGUGGCAUUGGAACCCACUACUUUAGAAUCUGCUAAGAAAGGUGAGAACAGUAAGUCUUUGUGCAAAGGCUGAAUGUACAUAGGGAAGUGUAGCCCUAAAUCUGUUUGCUCCCACAUGUUUUUGCCCCGUUUUGCUUUGACUAAUUAUAUAAUCUGCGAUGUAAGAGAGCCAAGUGAUUUUACCUGUCUUGCUGAUUACACAGUUUGGAUUAGCCUUUUGGUAUGGGGUGGCUUUUAAUCGGCUUUAGAUUUGGAGCUAUAAACAAUAGGGCUUCCCUGAGAGAGAAAACUAUUGAGAAGACCAGAAAGAGAGAGAGACAGAAAGGACAGGAUUUGAUUUUGGUGAGGUAAAAACAACUCAGCCUCUGGGUAGGAAUUUUCGUUUGCUACUUAUUGGCUUUGUGCUUGGCAAGGUUUGAACUUCUCUGGAAUUGUUUCCUCAUCUACAAAAUGGGGAUAAUAACACCUUCCUAGCUAGGCAAUAAUGAGAUUUAGAGACAGUGUGUAUGAAGUGCCUGGCAUCUUGGAAGCCCAUGACAACUGUCUGAUAUAGUUAUUACAGGUUUUUUUUUUUUUAAUUGAAAGAGCUCAUCUUUCAGCAUUGUAAGCAGUCCUCAAAAAAACCAGGGUUCAGGGCAAAUGUGAUUACUGCUGAUGAUAACUUUUUUGGUGCCUUUUUCUUAUUUCCUUGCCCUUUUCAUGUCCCUUGUUUUCCUCUGAUUAAUGUUCCAAACUGACCCUUAUCAGCCUCUCUCCUUUUUUAUCAUACUUUCAGAAAAUUCAAAAUAAACUGCAGGGGCUGAUGAGACCAAAUAAUUGCAGACAGACUUUGUUUAGAAGUCAAAAAUCGCCUCUUUCCUUUGCCCUGACGACUUUUCUCCUUCUGGUCUUUUCUCUCCCUACAUGUCAGUAUUAAAAUGUAUUGUUAGAUCGACAGAUGCAUCACCUGACACUUUGGUGAGUGAAGACAUAGAUUUGGAUAAUAGACAUAGCUGAAACAUUUUCCUGGGGGUGUCCAGUUCUAUUAUUUACACAACCAUUGUUAUUCCAGAAAAUAACUGGUAGAUUCCUCCUCCAAACUGGUAAAGUUCUUAUAGAUGUGGACUAAGGAGCUGUUUUCCCAAGGGAUUCAUUAGAUUUUGAUUAGCCUCUAAUAUGUUUGUUCAAAAUGACAUGGAGGAUUUCCCCCAGGCCAGGCUGGGGUUGCCAGCUGUGACAGAGAUGGACAUUUAAUUUGUUUGUGAUUGGGUUGUCAAGGCUGGACAUUUGUCAUUUGAGAGUUCUACUUUACUCCUUUUCCCCAAAUCUACUUC